rnacentral:lncRNA from 1 species
UUUUUAAUUUUUCAUAUGUGUAGAAUUUGAGGGGUAGAUUUUGUGGUGGUUUGUUUGUUUGCUACCAAGGACUGAACCUAAAACUUAGUGUAUGUUGGCUGAUUAGGUGUCUGCCAACCACCCUCUGUUCCCCAGAAAUUAUCCUCACCUCCUGAAUUAUGUCACAUUACCCAUCUAUAUGAAACAGACUUUCCCAAUGACUCAUUUAAAUUCAAACAUCUCUUGGGUUGUGUGUGUAUGUCUGUGUGUGUGUACCAUAAUACAUAGUACCAUCUCAUAGUUGGGGAUUGAAACCUCCUAACCAGAACUAAAAAAAGGUUAUUCACAUUUGUUUUGCUUGCCUCCUUUUGUUGUUAUCUAGUCUUCACAUUUCCCUCUUCCUUUUUUCCUCUUUGUUUGUGUAUGUGUAUGAGUUACAUAUGUAUUCAUAUGGUGGCCAAACAUCACCUUUGGGUGUCUUCCUCAUUCAUUCUGUAUCUUACUUUUUGAAACAGAGUCUCUCCUCUCCCCCCUCCUCCAACCCACCUGUUUCUGUCCCCUUUUCUUCCCCUUCCCCUUUUCACUCCCCAGACUUGCAAGAAUCACCUUGACCCUCCCAAGUGCUAGACAUAAAAUGAGCAUGUACUCAUGCCAUAUUUGAUGUGAUGCUGGAUAUUAAACUAGGCAAGCACUUUUCCAACUCAUCCCCAGCUAUCCGUGCCAUACUUCUGACUAGCCUGAUCUGAUCUCAGCAGAUUCUUGGGGCCAACAAAUCCUGCUCAUACUAGCUAGGUUUAAAUAGCCACCACAUACUUUGCUGGCUCACCAUAGGAAGAAAGAAAUAGGAUGAAAAUGUUUGAGAACUAAAUCAGAACCAUAGCUGCUUUUGGGUCAACAAGGGACAGAGUCUCAAUUCAUUGGGGCUAUGGGGAAAGGAGAAAACAACCCAUGUGCUUUGGUCCUGCUGAGUCUGCCUCUUAACUACUUCUAUAAAACUCACAGCACAGGGCAGAGGUGGAAUUCGGAACCAGAUGACUUAAGGGGUUUCCUUAGUAAAGGUGUAGCAUGGACUCUUUUUUAAAAGAGAGUAGAUUUUCACUCAUGUAAAGCAUUUGAAUGAGACAUUUGGUAAUGGUUGUAAAGCCGUUCUGUUUUAAUACUUACCUUUACCCCCUCAAGUCUAGAUGCUCUGUUUAAAAAAAAAAAAGUUGGAAGUCAUUUGACUAAAUAAAAUGUUUUGUCACAG